GAUGAACGCUAGCGGCAGGCUUAAUACAUGCAAGUCGAGGGGCAGCACGGUUAGCAAUAACUGGUGGCGACCGGCGCACGGGUGCGUAACACGUAUACAAUCUACCUUAAACAGGGGAUAGCCUUUCGAAAGAGAGAUUAAUACCCCGUAAUAAAUUGAACGGCAUCGUUUGAUUUUGAAAGCUCCGGCGGUUUGAGAUGAGUAUGCGUCUGAUUAGCUAGUUGGUGAGGUAACGGCUCACCAAGGCGACGAUCAGUAGGGGAUCUGAGAGGACUAACCCCCACACUGGUACUGAGACACGGACCAGACUCCUACGGGAGGCAGCAGUAAGGAAUAUUGGUCAAUGGAGGCAACUCUGAACCAGCCAUGCCGCGUGCAGGAUGACGGCCCUAUGGGUUGUAAACUACUUUUAUACAAGAGAAAACCCUGGUACGUGUACCAGGUUGAUAGUAUUGUAAGAAUAAGCAUCGGCUAACUUCGUGCCAGCA
rnacentral:rRNA from 1 species